AUGGAGCAAUUUCUGGUUUUGUGGUUGGAGCAUAGCCUCAUUUUCGCAAGAGUUUGGGUUUCUCAAGAACAAUGGGAUGUUAAUCUUCCAUGCGCAGCGGCGGUGCAUCAAGGUGCAAGGCAGCUGCGACAUGUUCAUAGUACGCUAAAGGAUGAGCUCCUACUUUUGCUGAUGCUAGCUCCUUGCUGCAGAGUCAUUGUGGUGCCUGUUGGGCCUUUGGUGUUGUGGAGUGUCUGCGAGAUCGUUUCUGCAUUCCUCAUGUCAUGGAUUGUUAGUAAGGUUGCUCAUCGUCAAGGAAAGUGCUUUGUGGAUACUUGCAUGACUAAGGAAGAAAUUUGUUAUUUGAAGUAUGCACUAGAGAUAUUGCAAGGUAUUUCUGUUACCAGACGAAGAAAUUUGUUAUUUGAAGUAUGCAUUAGAGAUAUUGCAAGGUAUUUCUGUUACCAGAUUCAUAUCUUUUUUUGGGACCUAUGUACAGAUGAUGAUUCGUAG
rnacentral:rRNA from 1 species